rnacentral:lncRNA from 1 species
GUAAGAUGGCGGCGCGGGGGGCGGCCUGGCGGGGCGGUCACGUGGUGAGGAGUAGCGCGCGAGCCUCCUUAAGUGAUCUCUAAGGUUCAAGAGAUUCUCCUGCCUCAGCCUCCCAAGUAAUUGGAAUUACAGGCCCAUGCCACCCCACCCGGCCAAUUUUUUUUGUAUUUUUAGUAGAGAUGGGGUUUUGCCAUGUUGGCCAGGCUGGUCUCAAACUCCUGACCUCAAGUGAUCCGCCAGCCUCGGCCUCCCAAAGUGCUGGGAUUACAGGCACGAGCCACCAUGCCGGACCUAUUAGUGUAUUUACUGGAUAUCAAGAUGACUAAGAAAUAGCACUUGCCUUGAAGGAGCUUUUCUAUUUGAGGAAAAAGACAUGUAUAUAAAUAACUGCAAACAGAAUGAAACAAGUGUUAUGUAGAUCUACAUACAGUGACAUGCCAUGGGAAUGCUGAACACUGAGCAACAGUUUCAACUAGCGAAUUGGCACAGGAAACAUGAAAAAUAAGCGUAUUUUCAAUAUGACAAGAAUGGUCAUUUCUGGAUAUAAGAACAAGA